rnacentral:lncRNA from 1 species
GGAAAUUCACAUACAAUUCUAAUCUGACUACACUGACUUUCGACUGAAUCAGAAUUAAUAACAUAUGCCAGAUAUGCUAUACAACCCUGAUGAAGCAACUUAUUAACUUUAAUCGCUGAUAUGAUUCGAGUUAACCAACUGGUACGAAUUCCAUUUACCUCUACACUAUCACCAUCUUCAGUCUGAACACUAAAUUUCUUUUUAUAACAGUCCAAAAUUACCCCAUGUUCAGCU